rnacentral:rRNA from 1 species
UUGAACGCUGGCGGCAGGCCUAACCCAUGCAAGUCGCGCGGAUGAAGGGAGCUUGCUCCUGGAUUCAGCGGCGGACGGGUGAGUAAUGCCUAGGAAUCUGCCUGGUAGUGGGGGAUAACGUCCGGAAACGGGCGCUAAUACCGCAUACGUCCUGAGGGAGAAAGUGGGGGAUCUUCGGACCUCACGCUAUCAGAUGAGCCUAGGUCGGAUUAGCUAGUUGGUGGGGUAAAGGCCUACCAAGGCGACGAUCCGUAACUGGUCUGAGAGGAUGAUCAGUCACACUGGAACUGAGACACGGUCCAGACUCCUACGGGAGGCAGCAGUGGGGAAUAUUGGACAAUGGGCGAAAGCCUGAUCCAGCCAUGCCGCGUGUGUGAAGAAGGUCUUCGGAUUGUAAAGCACUUUAAGUUGGGAGGAAGGGCAGUAAGUUAAUACCUUGCUGUUUUGACGUUACCAACAGAAUAAGCACCGGCUAACUUCGUG